CUGGAGGUAUCAGAAGUGCGAAUGCUGACAUAAGUAACGAUAAAGCGGGUGAAAAGCCCGCUCGCCGGAAGACCAAGGGUUCCUGUCCAACGUUAAUCGGGGCAGGGUGAGUCGACCCCUAAGGCGAGGCCGAAAGGCGUAGUCGAUGGGAAACGGGUUAAUAUUCCCGUACUUGGUGUUACUGCGAAGGGGGGACGGAGAAGGCUAUGUUGGCCGGGCGACGGUUGUCCCGGUUUAAGCGUGUAGGCUGGUUUUCCAGGCAAAUCCGGAAAAUCAAGGCUGAGGCGUGACGACGAGGCACUACGGUGCUGAAGCAACAAAUGCCCUGCUUCCAGGAAAAGCCUCUAAGCAUCAGGUAACAUCAAAUCGUACCCCAAACCGACACAGGUGGUCAGGUAGAGAAUACCAAGGCGCUUGAGAGAACUCGGGUGAAGGAACUAGGCAAAAUGGUGCCGUAACUUCGGGAGAAGGCACGCUGACACGUAGGUGAAGUGAUUUACUCAUGGAGCUGAAGUCAGUCGAAGAUACCAGCUGGCUGCAACUGUUUAUUAAAAACACAGCACUGUGCAAACACGAAAGUGGACGUAUACGGUGUGACGCCUGCCCGGUGCCGGAAGGUUAAUUGAUGGGGUCAGCGCAAGCGAAGCUCCUGAUCGAAGCCCCGGUAAACGGCGGCCGUAACUAUAACGGUCCUAAGGUAGCGAAAUUCCUUGUCGGGUAAGUUCCGACCUGCACGAAUGGCGUAAUGAUGGCCAGGCUGUCUCCACCCGAGACUCAGUGAAAUUGAACUCGCUGUGAAGAUGCAGUGUACCCGCGGCAAGACGGAAAGACCCCGUGAACCUUUACUAUAGCUUGACACUGAACAUUGAGCCUUGAUGUGUAGGAUAGGUGGGAGGCUUUGAAGUGUGGACGCCAGUCUGCAUGGAGCCGGCCUUGAAAUACCACCCUUUAAUGUUUGAUGUUCUAACGUGGACCCGUGAUCCGGGUUGCGGACAGUGUCUGGUGGGUAGUUUGACUGGGGCGGUCUCCUCCUAAAGAGUAACGGAGGAGCACGAAGGUUGGCUAAUCCUGGUCGGACAUCAGGAGGUUAGUGCAAUGGCAUAAGCCAGCUUGACUGCGAGCGUGACGGCGCGAGCAGGUGCGAAAGCAGGUCAUAGUGAUCCGGUGGUUCUGAAUGGAAGGGCCAUCGCUCAACGGAUAAAAGGUACUCCGGGGAUAACAGGCUGAUACCGCCCAAGAGUUCAUAUCGACGGCGGUGUUUGGCACCUCGAUGUCGGCUCAUCACAUCCUGGGGCUGAAGUAGGUCCCAAGGGUAUGGCUGUUCGCCAUUUAAAGUGGUACGCGAGCUGGGUUUAGAACGUCGUGAGACAGUUCGGUCCCUAUCUGCCGUGGGCGCUGGAGAACUGAGGGGGGCUGCUCCUAGUACGAGAGGACCGGAGUGGACGCAUCACUGGUGUUCGGGUUGUCAUGCCAAUGGCACUGCCCGGUAGCUAAAUGCGGAAGAGAUAAGUGCUGAAAGCAUCUAAGCACGAAACUUGCCCCGAGAUGAGUUCUCCCUGAGACUUUAAGUCUCCUGAAGGAACGUUGAAGACGACGACGUUGAUAGGCCGGGUGUGUAAGCGCAGCGAUGCGUUGAGCUAACCGGUACUAAUGAACCGUGAGGCUUAACCUUACAACGCCGAAG
rnacentral:rRNA from 1 species